rnacentral:rRNA from 1 species
AGCGAACGCUGGCGGCAGGCUUAACACAUGCAAGUCGAGCGGGCAUCUUCGGAUGUCCGCGGCAGACGGGUGAGUAACACGUGGGAACGUACCCUUCGGUUCGGAACAACUCUGGGAAACUGGAGCUAAUACCGGAUACGCCCUUAUGGGGAAAGGUUUACUGCCGAAGGAUCGGCCCGCGUCUGAUUAGCUAGUUGGUGGGGUAACGGCCUACCAAGGCGACGAUCAGUAGCUGGUCUGAGAGGAUGAUCAGCCACACUGGGACUGAGACACGGCCCAGACUCCUACGGGAGGCAGCAGUGGGGAAUAUUGGACAGUGGGCGCAAGCCUGAUCCAGCCAUGCCGCGUGAGUGAUGAAGGCCUUAGGGUUGUAAAGCUCUUUUGUCCGGGACGAUAAUGACGGUACCGGAAGAAUAAGCCCCGGCUAACUUCGUG